AACCAUAGAAACCUGCGGAGUACCUGCGGAAGGAUCAUUACCGAGUUUACAAACUCCCAACCCUAUGUGAACCUUACCAAUCGUUGCUUCGGCGGGCUUAGCCCCCGCGCCCUCGCCGGCGCCGGGAGAAAGGCGCCCGCCGGGGACCCCAAACCCAAUGUUUUUCAUGCAGUAUUUCUGAGUGGCAAACGCAAAAAUAAAUCAAAACUUUCAGCAACGGAUCUCAGAUCGGAAGAGCAC
rnacentral:misc_RNA from 1 species